AGGCAGUUCUGUGCGUGUUCACUGUUUAGUAGUACUCAAAACUGCCAGUGUGAGAGGAUUUGGAAAUCACUGGAUCUGCUCAAUACAAAAAUGUUUUUUCGAGUCUUUCUCCAUUUUAUCAGGAGUCAUUCUGCCACUGCAGUGGAUUUCCUUCCUGUGAUGGUGCACCGGCUCCCAGUUUUCAAAAGGUACAUGGGAAAUACUCCUCAGAAAAAAGCCGUCUUUGGGCAGUGUCGGGGUCUGCCAUGUGUUGCACCGCUGCUGACCACAGUGGAAGAGGCUCCACGGGGCAUCUCUGCUCGAGUCUGGGGACAUUUUCCUAAGUGGCUCAAUGGCUCUCUACUUCGAAUUGGACCUGGGAAAUUCGAGUUUGGGAAGGAUAAGUAAGCCUUGAUUUUGGAGAACAACUUGGAUUUCUUGGCAUGGGCUGGUUCUGUGGAAUAUGCAUUAAUAUCUGCUUCCUCUGUGAGGUUAAUAUUUCCAUUCCAUCCCUUUGAUUACAGAUAAAGAAACUGUAGCCUAGAGGAGAAGAAAGGAGACUUUUUAAACAAAAUGUCCUGCUUUUUCUGCUCUGUAGACUAUUGUAAAUUUGAAGCCCUCUGUGGUUUGUACCAAAAGAAGAGAGGUGUCAGAAGCUGUCAGUGUGGUGACUGAGCUGUUUCCCCACAAGUUCCUGAAGGAAGGGCAAUGUCUCCUCAUACCACUCUCUCCCUCACCCAGCACUUGCCAGACACAUGGUCUUUUUC
rnacentral:lncRNA from 10 species